UUCGAAGCCUGACUCUCUCUCUCACUGGAAAACUUUCCUCAGUUUCAGUGAAGUGGAAUUAAUAAUAGUGCCCUUCUAACAGGCUCGUUAUGAGGAUGAAAUGAAUUAAUCCACAUAUAUCUUGGAGAAGAGUGCUCAUCUCAGAAGAAGCUCUUAAGCAAUGUUAUGGAGUCUCGCUGUGUCACCCAGGCUGGAGUGCACUGGCACGAUCUCGGCUCACUGCAACCUCUGCCUCCAGGGUUCAAGUGAUUCUACUGCCUCAGCCUCCCGAUCCCUCCCCAAAACGUGCCUUGAGCUGUCCAGAAGAGACAAACUGAAGCCCGGCGCUGGAAAGGAGGAAAAGAGAGAGGACCCCCUUCC